CUUUCUUCUUUUGCACAAUCCCUCCUUACUCGUUUUCAAAUAGACUAGAUUUCUGAACACACUCAACACAAAAUGCCCUCCCUUUGUUAUUUUCGUUCCCCUCUCACCACAAUAUCUUUUCAUUUAGGUCUUCUGCUCAACACAUCAUUCAUCAGUCUUGCGUUGGUGCGUAUCGAUCAUUGCCUCUUUGAUUUUGCAGCAGAGAGAGUGUGAGAAUGCAGGAGGUAGUGCGCAUAUGUUGUCCUCCAAUGGAUCUGUUUCACUCAGAGUCGAUGUAAUUGGUUCAACUCAUCAUCCCAAUCGAAAGAGUUGCUUAGUUUGGCUUGAGAAAAGGAAAAAAGAAGAAGGAAAGUAGGGUUUUGGCGGAGGAUAAGUAGAAGUUUGGGAAUACCAAUUGCUCCAUGAGGCAUCAGGUCACAUGGUGACGAUUGAGCUCAAGAGUGGCGAACUCUACCAUGGAAGCAUGAUCAAGUGCGAGGACAACUGGAACUAGAGAGCCUCACCUACAUCGCCAAGGUUCCAUUUCCCAUCUUCCUCAAAUCGCCAAUUCCUCACCCUUUCUAACCUAUUUCUUUUGUAAAUGGAUCUAAUAAGGACAAACUCCAGUUUUCUCUGCAUUUCGAUUUGCAAUCUCAUGUAUAAGGGAAGAAAAAGGAACGAUAAUAGGUUGAAUUAGCAUCACUUAUUGGCUUCGCUGAACCUAUGGAAGUUAUAAUAGUAGGUAUUCAAACAUCCAGUGAUGCAAACACUUUUCCAUCUCUGCUAAAAUACCUGAAUUCACCAACAAGAACAAAAUAGUGGUCCUCCAACAUUCUAUAAAAUUUGAAAAGGAGAUUGAGUGUGGUGGAGGUUACAUCAAACUUCUAUAUGGAUUUGUUAAUCAAAAGAAGUUUGGUGGGGAUACACCUUAUAUGUUUAAGAUGACAUCAUUGCUUUUAUUGGAUCGGGAUUGAAUUAAAACAAUCUAAUCCUUCAUGAAGAAGCAUAUCAUUGUACAGUCUAAACAGUUUGGUGAACUGAAAGAUCAAGUAACAGUGGAGCAGAUUUUACAGGUUGUUUUUAUGGAUUCAGAGCCUAGUAGCCCUCAAACCGGUGGACCAAAAGCAAACUAAUGGUGAAUCCAACAACCACCAAAUUACCGUAACAACCAAAGCAUCGUCCCUAAUACCUCACAUGUUGGACUUGGAUAAACCUGUAGUUUUUUCAUGCGAAGAGAUUUUUGCCUCAACCAAUGGUUUCCCUGAUUCAAAUCUACUUGGGCUCUACUUGGGCACAAAGCACAUGGUUCUGUUUAGUAUGCUCUCCAUUGUGACCAGGUUUGGGGUCGUACACUUUUAGUUGUGUUGUAGAAAAAAGCAAGUGCUUCACCAUAAGGAAGUUGCUAUUAAAAGAAUUACAGCUGCUAAAACUAAAGAAUUUAUGCCAGAGAUAAAAGUUUUGUGCAAGGUUCAUCAUGCUAAUAUGGUAGAAUUAAUUGAUUAGCUAUGCGGCUAGUCAUGAUGAUUUUUCCUUAUUUAUAAAUAUGCUCAGAAGGGUUCACUCAGCAGCCAUUUGCAUGAUACUCAAAAUAAGGGUAAGAUCGCGCCAGCUGCUAAUUUACUUUAAAGCAUCUUGAUUUUUACUACAGAAAUACUUGAAUAUAAUCAGUAGUACUGAUAAAAGCUUCCUAUUCAAUGAUGAGAAGGUUUGAAUUGGAAUUUUGUCGUCUUGCCUGAACAUAAUGAAUAUAUGGUUCAAGACCAUUUUUUUUUAUUUUGUCUUGCCUGAACUCUCAAUUAAGAUUUUCUAAUUCUAAGCUUUAGUCAUUUUGAACAGAAACUUGAAUAUGGAUAGCUUGUCAACCUGUUUUUGGAAACGAAGAAAACUCUGGCAAAGUAUCUUUCUGUGAUAUAAUUAUGUGUUAUGUGUAUCGAGAGUGGUGUCACGAAAGCACGACAUAUAGCAUGAUCAUGAUCUACUUUUAUUGAAUAUUUUAAAUUUGAUUUAUAAUAAUUUAAUCUAAUUGGAUGCUGUAAAGAAUGAGACAUAAAAAUAUUGAGUGAUUACUUUCAAAAUUAAGAUUGGUUUCCUUCGUGUGCAGUAGAGCUAGUGGAUUAAUAUAUUUGAUAUGAUGGCCUUUUAUGUUGUUGUUUGAAGGAUUCUCAUUGGAAGAAGUAAUAGACCAUACCAAGCAGGAUUUCCAUGUGUUCCUCGAUUUAACAAGGUUAGAAGCACCAAUACAAGUAUUUAACAGGGUUAGAAGCACAAAUUCAAAUCAGUGAUGGUUGCAUCAUAAAUUUGUUAAAACAUUUUGUUUGGUUCUUAAUGUAAACUAACAGAUGACUAUAAUGUAUAAUUUCCUUUCAUGUUUUUUACUACUUGUCACUUGGUUUCAAUUAUUUAGGUUAGUGUACAAAUAUUUGGUGUACAAUAACAUUGUGUGCCUUAUCCAAAACAACGAGCCAAUAUGCAUACUAUGUGCAAAGAAUAUUGUAGAAAAAAGAAAAAAAUA